CUAAUCGUAUCUUUUUCCAUCUCUUUGGAUAAUUGUUCUGCACCAUUGAUUGAACAGUCUUUCUUUUCCCUUCUGAAAUGCAAUGCCCUCUAUUACACACCAAGUUUCCAUAUACAUGUGGGGAUGUUCCUAUGCUCUCUGUUCCAGUUUUUGAUUGGUUAGCUUGUUCCUCACUUAUUUGUUCAUUUGUUCUUUUUGUCUCUUUCUGUGCCAAUGCCACACAAAGUCCUUUAAUUAUUAAAGCUCUAUAAGAAGUCUCUAUAUCUCAUAGUAAGAGGCACCACUUGUUAUUAUUAUUUUCUGAUUUGUCUCUGAUGUUCUCAGACUUUAUCUAUAGGUUUCCUAUCUCCAUGCCUUUGCUUGUGCUGUUCCUUCUGCUUGGAAUCCCUUCCCUAUUGUUCUCCAUAGAUGCAAAUCUGACUCAUUCUCAGGUCAAAUGCCAGCUCCUCCAAAAAGCCCUCCCUGACUGUCCUGAGUUGAAGCAAUCUCCCUCCUCUCUGAGCUCCCCUGUCGCUCAAUCUGUAUUUCGCUUUCACUUUUCACCAAACAACUAUAGCAUAAGCUCUUUGAGAGCAAGCUCCACGUCUGACUAAUCACUGACUCCCUGGAAUUCAUAAUACAGUGACUUUUAUACAGAAGACAUUCUAUAAAUACUGAUUAUGCUUAAAUACUAAAUGGUCUCUUUGUCAUUCAAUUUUUAUUCUAUAUUAACGCAGUAAUCUCAUCAGUGUUACUUUAACAUCUGUGAAUCAUUUUUUACCUGCAUGUAGUGAACCUCAUUUCCUCUAGCUCACCUUUCAUUUCCCUUUUCUCCUUUUUAACUAUAUUUGGCUCAGGUCUGUAACUAACCCCUAGUCAGCUCACAUGACGCCAGGGAAGCUGGCUCUAUGCCCAGCUUGAGAGGGGAGAUCCCAAGUAUUCCAGGCCAACCAAUGCAUGACUUUCUCUGAUAGCUGCUAUUGGUCUGCGAGUGGGUAUGAGACCUAAGUUGGCUCAUUCAGACUGAAGGGGAAGAUGGUUACUCCAUAGCAAGGGAUAGUUUCUCAUAGUCUCUCUGCCCUCCCCCAUCUUCCUCGACCGAUUGCACAUGAACAAUGAAGCAUAUAGCAAAAGUUAUCUAUUGCUGCAUAACAAAUUAGUUCAAAUUUCAGUGACUUAAAGCAAUAAUCAUUUAACAUCUCUCAGGUUUCUGUGGCUCAGGAAUUCAGCACAGCAUAGGGGGAUGGUUUGUCUCUUCUCUGUGAUAUCUGAGGCCUAAACUGGAAGACUCUGGGGCUGGGAGUUGAGCUCAAUCGAAGGUUCAUUCACUCUGCAGGUUGAUGCUGGCUUCCGCUAGAACUUAACGAGCUGUCGGUUACAACACCUACAUGUGGCCUCUCCAUGCCACCUGGGUUUCCUCCCACAUAGUGACUGUAUCUCAACGGCAAGUAUCUCAAAAUAUAGCCAUCUUACAACAAGGAGAGAGACAGGCCAAAAGCCAAGCGGACUC
rnacentral:lncRNA from 1 species